rnacentral:lncRNA from 1 species
CUCUGUCAACUAAAGAUCAGUAUCGGCAACGACACAGUAAAAGCCACCAUCCCCCAUUUCUAGCCGUGCACUGCCUCAAACAGUAAAAAGCUAUUACGGUCGAUCACCGUAUCACGUAAAAGAAGAUAUACUACUCUACCAGUACUGCUCACCGGUCUCUCCUCUCAGUAGAAACUCCAAAACUUAAAGAAGCAAAAGAAAGAACAAGAAUAAAAAGGGUUACACGCUUAGCAGCAGUAAAAACUUGAGAAGAUAUGCAACUCUGUCACUACCGCUCACGGUUCUCAGUAGCCUCUUUUCUCAGCAGAAACUCCAAAAAAAAAACUUG